rnacentral:rRNA from 1 species
GAAUGCUGACAUAAGUAACGAUAAAGCGGGUGAAAAGCCCGCUCGCCGGAAGACCAAGGGUUCCUGUCCAACGUUAAUCGGGGCAGGGUGAGUCGACCCCUAAGGCGAGGCCGAAAGGCGUAGUCGAUGGGAAACGGGUUAAUAUUCCCGUACUUGGUGUUACUGCGAAGGGGGGACGGAGAAGGCUAUGUUGGCCGGGCGACGGUUGUCCCGGUUUAAGCGUGUAGGUGUGUGUUCCAGGUAAAUCCGGUUCACUUUAACACUGAGGCGUGAUGACGAGGCACUACGGUGCUGAAGCAACAAAUGCCCUGCUUCCAGGAAAAGCCUCUAAGCAUCAGGUAACAUCAAAUCGUACCCCAAACCGACACAGGUGGUCAGGUAGAGAAUACCAAGGCGCUUGAGAGAACUCGGGUGAAGGAACUAGGCAAAAUGGUGCCGUAACUUCGGGAGAAGGCACGCUGACACGUAGGUGAAGUGAUUUACUCACGGAGCUGAAGUCAGUCGAAGAUACCAGCUGGCUGCAACUGUUUAUUAAAAACACAGCACUGUGCAAACACGAAAGUGGACGUAUACGGUGUGACGCCUGCCCGGUGCCGGAAGGUUAAUUGAUGGGGUCAGCGCAAGCGAAGCUCCUGAUCGAAGCCCCGGUAAACGGCGGCCGUAACUAUAACGGUCCUAAGGUAGCGAAAUUCCUUGUCGGGUAAGUUCCGACCUGCACGAAUGGCGUAAUGAUGGCCAGGCUGUCUCCACCCGAGACUCAGUGAAAUUGAACUCGCUGUGAAGAUGCAGUGUACCCGCGGCAAGACGGAAAGACCCCGUGAACCUUUACUAUAGCUUGACACUGAACAUUGAGCCUUGAUGUGUAGGAUAGGUGGGAGGCUUUGAAGUGUGGACGCCAGUCUGCAUGGAGCCGGCCUUGAAAUACCACCCUUUAAUGUUUGAUGUUCUAACGUGGACCCGUUACCCGGGUUGCGGACAGUGUCUGGUGGGUAGUUUGACUGGGGCGGUCUCCUCCUAAAGAGUAACGGAGGAGCACGAAGGUUGGCUAAUCCUGGUCGGACAUCAGGAGGUUAGUGCAAUGGCAUAAGCCAGCUUGACUGCGAGCGUGACGGCGCGAGCAGGUGCGAAAGCAGGUCAUAGUGAUCCGGUGGUUCUGAAUGGAAGGGCCAUCGCUCAACGGAUAAAAGGUACUCCGGGGAUAACAGGCUGAUACCGCCCAAGAGUUCAUAUCGACGGCGGUGUUUGGCACCUCGAUGUCGGCUCAUCACAUCCUGGGGCUGAAGUAGGUCCCAAGGGUAUGGCUGUUCGCCAUUUAAAGUGGUACGCGAGCUGGGUUUAGAACGUCGUGAGACAGUUCGGUCCCUAUCUGCCGUGGGCGCUGGAGAACUGAGGGGGGCUGCUCCUAGUACGAGAGGACCGGAGUGGACGCAUCACUGGUGUUCGGGUUGUCAUGCCAAUGGCACUGCCCGGUAGCUAAAUGCGGAAGAGAUAAGUGCUGAAAGCAUCUAAGCACGAAACUUGCCCCGAGAUGAGUUCUCCCUGAGACUUAGAGUCUCCUGAAGGAACGUUGAAGACGACGACGUUGAUAGGCCGGGUGUGUAAGCGCAGCGAUGCGUUGAGCUAACCGGUACUAAUGAACCGUGAGGCUUAACCUUACA